ACACUAGUCGCACUUUCAUUGGUAUCAGAGCAAGGUUAUUAGGAGUCUUUUCUCUUAUAUUGAGUCGAGAUUUUGAUUGAGAAUAAAAGAUAUGGCUGCACGUACCUUCAUCUUUGAGAUCCUUAAAACCAAGAGGUUCGAUGGAACCAAUUAUGCCUCUUGGAGAAGGAAGAUUCAAUGUGUUCUUUAUGAGGAAAACUUGAAUGAGAUGCUCUAUGAGCGUCAUCCUCAUCGUCCAAGUGACGACUCAUCUCAAGUAAUCAAAACUGAGUAUGCCACUUGGAAGAGGAAGAACAUGAGAUGCAAGAACAUGCUUUUAUGCGUCAUGACUGACUCGUAUGCUUCAGAGUAUGAGUCAAUUUUUACUGCAAAAGAAAUCUUUGAUAGACUUGAGAGGGACUAUGAUGAACCCUCUCUAAUAAAACAAGCCAUAGCUAUGAAGAAGUACAAUGAUUUAAAAAAGGCGGGUACCAAGUUUGCCGAUCAUGUGCACAUCUUUCGUGCACUAGUCAGAGAAUUGGAAGACACCGGCAUGAAACCGUCUGAACCCAUUUAAGUGAUUCAUCUCAUGAAUUCACUUCUUAACUCAUGGGAAACUUUUGUGUCUUCCCUCUCGACGAGAAGGAAAGCACCAAGGCUGGGGGAGCUCAUCACAACAAUCAAAGGAGAAGAAAAAAGGAGGAACUCAAGGCAUGCACUGACUACAACUCCUAGAGAAGCCGUACAUAUGGUAAAAUCUACUCCCACUUUUAAACCUAAGAGCGCAAAGGGUAGAACUUAUUUUGGAAAGAGAGGAGACUUUAGAAGGAGAGAUUUUCGAAAUAAAGGAGAAAAGAGAGAGCCCAGAACUUGCUUUAUUUGCAAGAAAAUAGGCCACAUAGUCAGGAAUUGUCGGUCCAACAAAUUUGGUGUGACCAACAAAGAACUGGCUUGUGUGGUCUGUGAGACGUUGCUAGCCGACCCCAAGGGAACCUCUUGGUGUCUUGACUCAAGAGCUACAUCUCAUGUCACAAACACCAAGGAAGGCUUCCGCUCUUUUACUCCCAUAAAGCCGGGAGAGCAACAUAGGAGGAAACCAGAAGACUGAUGUGCUUGGAGUAGGAAAUUUUGAAGUAAAAUUGAAAAGUGGGAGCAUCUUGAUCCUAAAGCAAGAAUGCUUCUGAUAUGAGGAAGUGCUUCGUUUCGGUUCCCAAGAUGUCCAUGGCUAGAUUUAUGACCACUUUCAUUGAAAAGAAGGUGGUAUUCAAGAAGGGGAAUGAUGUUGUCAUGACUGGACGUCUUAUGGAUGGAUUAUUUGCUAUUGAAAUAAAAGAGAACGUUGCUUAUGUCUCGUCCCCUAGUGAAUUGGAUGCAACCCAUUGGCAUAUGAGGUUAGGACACAAUAAUUUUAAAAAAAUGGAAAGAUUGAAAGCAUUCUUCAAAAUUAUAAGGGCGAUUUAUCAAAAGUGUGUGAAUCUUGUGUGCAAGAAAAACUAAUAAGGAAAAAUACCACCGGGGCAAAAAGAGCUAAUGCUAUUUUAAAAGUCAUUCAUAGUGACAUAUGUGGACUUAUGAAUGUGGCUACUAAAAGCGAUGAAAUAUUUCAUCACUUUUAUAAUAUGGCCAUGUAUAUCUUAUCCACACCAAGUCCGAAGCCUUAGAUAAAUUCAAAAUAUACAAAGCCGAAGUAGAAAAUCAAACUAACCUGAAAAUCAAAGUCCUUAGAACCGACAGAGGGGGGCAAUAUUCAUCUGAACUUUUUAAAGAACUCUGUGCAGAAACGAAAUUAUAGACCAGUACACCAUGCCCUAUACUCCCGAACAAAAUGGUGUUGCCGAGAGACGAAAUAAGACCUUGGUUGAAAUGGUAAGGAGUAUGAUGGGGCAUGCUAGACUUUCCCUAGACUUUGGGGGAGAAGUCGUGUUGACGGCAUGUUAUAUCCUUAAUCGCAAUCCCACAAAAGUUGCGCCACUUACUCCUCACGAAAUUUUCGCAAGUCAUGCUCCCUCCCUUGAUCACUUGAGAGUUUGGGGUUGUUCAGCCCAUGUCCUUAUCCCGUACCAAGAUAGGACCAAACUUCAACCUAAAACUGUUAAAACCAUUUUCAUUGGCUACCCAGACCAUGGUAAGGGGUAUCGAUUCUACAACCUUGUAACAAAGGCAGUCAUUGAGAGCCGUAAUGCUCAUUUCUUCGAGAAAGAAUUCCUUGAAGCAAGAUUGAAUAAAAAACAAGCCGACUUGUUUGAGGAAGCAAGAGACAAGGUUGUGCUUCAAGAACCCGAACCUGAAACUUCUAAUAAACCUGAGCCUGAACACAUUCUCUCAAGACAAAAUGAACCUGAACCUGAACCGAGACGCAGUAACCGUAUUAGUAGAUAUCCUCUAUACCUAGAACAAUAUGUCUACCUGGGGCAACAUUUUGAUAGAGUUGGAGAAGAUCCAGAUUCUGAACCUAGAACUUACCAUAAAGCCUUGUCCUGUCCUGAAAAGGAUUACUGGGUAGAAGCGAUGAAAGAUGAAUAUGCUUCCAUUAACCAAAACCAUGUAUGGGAAUUAGUGCCUCUACCUCGGAAGAGUAAGGCCAUUGAUUGCAAGUGGAUUUUCAAGGAAAAGUUUCCCUUAUAAGAUGGUGCGAGAUCCUCAAAACACUAAAUUGUGUUUCAGACAAGAUCCACUCUGUGAUCGAGAGAAUCGAAGUUCUGCAAGGGAUCGCCACGCAAGGAAGGCGAUCCCGGUAACUAUGAUUAGAACCAUAAUAAACUUAUAAACUACAGAUAACACAAGCAGUAAUAGAACAGAGAAGCAACAACUAAUGAACCAUUAUAGGAUUAGACGCAAUAAUGCCUUAGGGGUUUUCUAGAAUUAAGAAGCAAAAAUUCUCGAAUGUAGAGAGAAUAGAUAGAGGUGAUGUUUCUAGAUGGGGAAAUGGUAAAAGGGCGAUGGUUUUCCUUUUUCUUUUUUAACAAGGUAACAUAGCGAGGGUGAAAAAAUAAUAAAUUUAUACGCACAAGAGAAAGAUAUGUGCGUCUGCAUAUGUAUGUGAGCAUGUGUGUGUGAGAUAAUCUACAUGUAAAGACUCUUCAAAAUACAAAGGUUAAUAGUAGAAUAAAUUGGGAAAGAUGAAGAUAUGGUUUCUUUUUUAAAAAUAGUCACUGCUUAUGGGUAGCUUGCUCAUUAAGUAAGGCCACAUGACAAGGGAUAAUUUUGUUAUCUUAUAAGGACAUGGUUAAGAUUUUCACUAAAAGUCAAUAGUAUUUAUACCAAUGAACUUCUAGGACAUUGCUUCUAAAAUACCAUUGAACUAUUGUAAAAAUUUUAAACAUUGUUUAAAAAAUUGGUGAUCCGGAUCAGAACCGGCCGAUCUGUAAAGAAAGAGAAAUGCUCCUUUGGACAAACGCAUGUUCCUGCAGCAUUUGAUUGAAGGAGGGCUUUGUCGGAUGGGCAAAAUCAAAACCGAGUGGCAAGCACCUACCAAGGUGAGUGAGCUAAGGCCAAGAUCGUUUCGAGAAUUUGUCAAGUCGAUCCGAAUCCCGUAAAUUGUCGAGAAUCGACCGGUUCUCCCCAUGAACCGUCCGGUUCGUACUGGUUUUCUGAUGGAACCGGCUAGUUCUGUCAAAUAACUGGUACGAACUAGCUCCACCUUUCAUUUAUUUACUUAUUUAUUCAUUUAGUCACUGAACUGGCUAGUUCGGUCAAGAUUGCAGAUCUAGGUUGUCGAUCCGCCGAGCUGAACCAAACCAAAAAUCCAAACGAGUGAUCCGAGUCACUGAUUCGCUUUUUAAAACUUGGAUUUCAAACGAACCAUUACUUAAUGAGAAGAGCAAAAGGCCCAGGGCACAACAUGAUGUUACUAAUAUAAUAUAAUUUUUAAUCAAAAAAUAAUUAUUUUUUAUAAAAACACCUAUCUUCAACUCCUUAUAACAUUAAGAUCAGUAUUUUGAGGGGUUGUUAAUUAUAAACAAUAUGUGCAUGUCUACAUGUGUGUGUGUGUAAAUUUAAAAACCGCCACAUUGAACUCGAAACACUUGAUUCGACUAAGGAUCAAUGGGGGAGCAAUACGAUUCUUGGGAUUCCCUAUGUCAAGAUGUUCACAUUAGUUUUUAUUUUUAUUUUAAAUAAAAAUUUUGUUAUCCAACUUUGCCAAGUUGGCCGAGCUAGAUGGGAAUAGCUGAUAAGUUGGCAUUGGAUCACCUUCUUCUCCAAGAUCCACUUCAAUCAAGAUCCUCGACUUGUUGAGGCGUGGCCUCCUCCUCAAUGAUUGGCACCUAUUCUUCAUUUGGAAGUAGGGCCUUUUGGGUGGAUGUAAUCAUGACAGCCGUAAGAUCACGUCCAAUUCCCUUUUGAUUGUGGGGAAAGACAUUUACGUAAGAUCACGUCCAAUUCCCUUUUGAUUGUGGGGAAAGACAUUUACUUAAAACGGCUAUCUUAAAAUUUUAAACCUCGAUAAAUUGGGGGACCGAGUCCGAGAGAGAUUCCAGUUUUUAAAACCCUACAUAUAAGAUGACAGGCUUAUACUAUUGCAUAAGCCCAUUGAGAAAGUAGAGGUUCCUCAGACCCAAAUUUCAUAAGCAUGUAGAUCUGAUGCAGAUUAAAAUCUGGUUGCUACAAAUUUUAAUUCUAUUUUUUGUUAACUUUAUUUGUAGAUAAGUGGGUAGAUUUUUUUAGGUUAGUUUUUAGGAAUAUUAUUUAUUUUAAGACAAGGGUUGAAAUUUUUAGGAACCUUCUCUCUUAUUUUUAGGAUACUGUUUUUAUUCUAGGAAAUAUCAAUUUUUGUUAAUCUUAGAAAUAGACUUUAUCUUUUUGUAGGUAGAAUCAUUUACAUAUAUCUUUUAGGAGCUAUGGUAAAAUGUGGGUAUUAUAGAAUAGGUUGAUCGUUUUAUUAAGGAAUGGCUUGGGUGCUAUGGUAGUUAUCUUUUGUUUUAGAAAGGAAAGCGAUAAAUACGGAUUAGCUUGGGUUAGGUUAAAACUAGGAAAAAUAAUUGGUCACGUAGGUGGAAAUGAUGAAGUAGGGAGUUGAAGUUAUCUCAUAGGAAGUUGGAUUGAAUAAUAUGGAAAGAAUCUAGAGAUAGAUUUAUUUUGGUUAAUUAUCAUUUUUGGUUUUUAGUAAGGAGAUAUAUUAGGGAUUAUCUUUUGAGAGACAUGUGAGAUGUUGUUUUAAAUGUACAAAAGAAGAUGAAUGUAAGUUGUAAUGGGGGAUUGAAUUUUAUGAAUGAAAAAAAGUGAUCUUUGACAUCGUGUAGAGUGAAAGAGAGAGCCAUUUGUGGGUGUUGUUUCUUCUCUUGUGUUUAUGGGCCCGUAUCGAAAUACUUGUAUCCACGUGUUUCGUUCUUUCUUCUUGUGUUUAUGGGCCCGUGUUUAUAAGGCCAUAAACACAAGUUUUGUUCUUUCUUCUUGUUUUUUCUUGUGUUUAUGAGCCCGUGUCGGAAAACUCGUAUCCACGCAUUUUGUUCUUUCUUCUCUUGUGUUAUAGGCCCAUGUCGAAAUAAAAACCGUAAAAGAAAUUACAAGAAGAAAGAACAAAACGUAUAGAUACGAGUAUUCCAGCACUGGCCAAUAAGCAAAAGAGAAGAAAUAACACCCACAAAGGGCUCUCUCUCUCAUUCUAUAGGAUCUCAAAUAUCACUUUUUUUUUCAUUCAUACAAUUCAAUUUCCAUUACAUGGUGCGUGCCUCCUUCUUUUAUACAUUUAUAACACCAUCUCACGUGACUCUUAAAAGAUAAUCUCAAAUAUAAAAAUAAUAAUAAUAACUAACCAAAAUAAAUUUAUCUGUAGAUUCUUUCUAUAUUCUUCAAUCCAACUUCCUAAAAGAUAACUACAAUUCCUACUUCAUUCUUUCCACCUACGUGACCCCUUAUUUUCCUUAGUUUUAACCUAACCCAAACUAAUUUGUAUUUAUCCAUUUCCUUUCUAAAACAAAAGAAAAUACACUAACCCCAAGCUAUACCCUAAUAAAACGAUCAACCUAUUCUAUAAUACCCAUGUUUUUAUCAUAGCUCCUAAAAGAUAUAUGUAAAUGAUUCUACCCCACAAAAAGAUAAAGUCUAUUUCUAAGAUUAACAAAAAUGGAUAUUUCCUAGAAUAGAAACGCAAAAGAAGAAGACUUGGCUUUUAAAAAUACGAACUUAAUUUUCCUAAGUAAAACGGACUUCCUAAAAUUAGACUUUAUCAAUCUAAACUAAAAAUCCUAUUUUUAAUAAUUAACCCUAAUAAAUAAAAAUAAAAAAUCUACCCAAUCUAUAAAAUAAAAGUAAUAAAAACAUAAUUAAAAUGUUGUAGCCAAUAGAUUUUGAUCUGCAUCAUUCUCCCCUGGUUGGAAAAAACUUGACAUCGAGUUUUGAAGUGCGCUCAAAUCAAGUUUGUAUUAGUCCCACCACCUUCUUCAAUCUGAAUGUUGUAAACAUGAUCCUGGAGCCUGUAGGUUACUGUGUUGAUUAAAGCAUAAUGAUAGUGCUUAGAAACUGGGAAACCCUCGAGGAAAGGGUCAUCAUAUCUAGAUUUUUCAACCACAUAAACUUGCUGAAAUUGAUCAAAUUUUCCGAUGGCACACCACGUAUUCAUCACUAGAUUCGAUGAUCAAACCAGUUUCACCAUUUGAUUCUCCUUUAAGGCCUUCCUCUUCCUCUUCGUCAAAUAUAGGAUAUUCAUCAAAGAUGAGAUUACUUUCAUCUGGCUCUUCAUCAAAUAUAGGUUCAUCAAAUAUACGAUCUUCAUCAAAGAUGAGAUCACUUUCAUAUUCCUCUUGUUCUUCAUAAAAAACAGGCACUUCAUCAAAGAUGGGGUAACCUGUGACAUCAAAGAAUGAUGAGAUUCCGAUUGAAGAUCGGAAUCUACUUGUUCUUCAUUAGUGUUCCAAAAAGCAGACCGCCCAGCGCCUGGGCGGGGGCCUAGGCGGGUCUAGGGGCCCAGGCACAUCGCUCAGGCCUAGGCACCCUAAAAAGGUGGUGGUCCCUGAGCGCCCGCCCAGCGCCCAGAAUUGGGCGGCUGCCCAGGGACUACGCCCCACCCAGAGGCGGAAAACAGUUUCUUAAAAGCAUUUUUUAUCCGUUUUUUUUAUACUAAAAGGGCCAAAAAUGAGCGUUUUAGGUCCAUUUGAAACUUAAAACUUAUUGGAGCCCAUUUUAGAGAGAGAAGGCCCCCAAAAAACUAGUUUUUUGGUGAUUUCUUUAGGAUCGAAGGGUUUCUCAAAAUUACGAGAAAUUGAUCAAAACACCACCCAUUGAUAUUAGACUUACUUUUUUAUGUUUUAUAAAUCUAUUGGGGGGGUUUUUAGAAGAUUUUGAGUCCUUAGAAGCAUCUUUGAGGUGGAAGUAUAGUUGUCGGAAACGCCUGAGAACCCGAGUCAUUUUAGGAACCGGAAUUGAGGAAUCGCCGCCGGCUAGAAGAUUCUUGUCUUAGGAAUCGUUGUCUGUACAAUAGGUAUCAUGGGGAACGAGAUUCCUAGUUUUUGAGAAUUGUGUUUCGACUGAAAUAGAUCCAAGUUUCAUCCACAAUGGAAUCGAGAUUCGAUCCUCCUUAGAAUCGAGAUUUCCACGCCCCUAGAAUCGACACUCCAAGAGUCAAAAUUCAUUAAUAUGUGGAAUCGAGUUCCGACAUCUAUGGAAUCGAGUUUCUGACAUAUGUGGAACAAAGAUAUGUUGUUUCGAAUCGUGAUUCGAACAUAUUUGGAAUCAAGUUUCUGAAAUAUAUGGAUCAGAGAUCCAUGCCAGUUUGUGAUUGAGAUUUACAAUAACAUGGACUAUGAAAUGCGUUUGACGACCCCUACCAAGAAUCGAGAUUUUAUUUAUAUGCAGAAGGAAGCCCAAAGCACAUCUUGAGCCUUAUCAACUUUAGACCCUAUAUUGGAUGUCUCUUAUUAGAAGGUUUACCAAAUUUUAUAGUGUUUGUGUUCACUAUUAAACUUACAGUCAUUAUAUACAAAAGAUGACUAUUUCUAAAUUGUGAUCUUGACUUCAUUAUCAUAAAAACAAAAUAGGAUUAUGUCUACGCCAUGGUUUUACUUUUAAUUGUAUGUGUUGUAUUUACCGGUUAUAUUUUAAAUUUAAUGUAAAAGCCGUCUAGGGUGGCACAAGUAAAAUAAUGAAAACUUGCAACCAUUAGAAACAUUCGACAGAAGAUUUCUACUCCAAUUUCCUUUAGGAAAUGCACAACCAUCAUAGACAUUGAACAUUAUGUACUUUGAAUUGGUUUUUUUUUUUUUAUACUUUGAAUUUAUUUAUUUUUGAAUCAAGAUUUAAUCAUCGCAAGAAUACAAAUUCGAUAUAUUUGGGAAAGUUUACCCACAAUUACUGGGUUCAAGUUUCUAAAGAUGUGUUGGAUCGAGAUUCUGAAAUUAAGGAAUUCAGUUUCCUUGGUUCCGAUAAAUGGUUUCUAAAGAUGUAUUGAAUCAAGAUUCGGAAAUUAAGGAAUCGAGUUUCCUUGGUUCCCAAAAAUAGUUUCUAAAGAUGUGUUGAAUCGAGAUUCUGAAAUUAAGGAAUCGAGGUUUCCUUGGUUCCAAAAAACGGUUUCCGUGGAGAUUCCUUAACAGAACCACGGAAUCGGGUUUCAGAACCAGAAUCGCGAGGUUGGUGGGGAGAUUCCGGUAACUAUGGGUGAAAGUUUGGAGAUUGAGCAAUCAAACUCAAAGUAAGUGAUUUUUUUUAUUGCUUGUACAAAUUGCAUUAUUUUUAGAUGUCUUCUUCGGGAUCUAAUAAGAUUGGUGAUCCCAGUUGGAAAUAUAGCUACAACCCAAAUCCUAUUGAUAAAAAUUGCAUAAGAUGUAAUUUUUGUAAGAAGGAUACAAAAUGGGGCAUAAACCGGUUCAAAAAACAUAUUGCCGGUAUCAAGGGGGAUGUUGCCCCAUGUAAAAAGGCUCCUAAUGAUGUUAAAGAAGAAAUAACCAAUUUUUUUAAUAUGGUAAAAAUGGAAAACGAUGAGAGAUUUGCCUCCAUAACAGAGAUUAGAUUAGGGGUUCGGGUCAAUUAUGAUGAUGAUGAUAGUGUUGAGGAUGGGAUUGGGGAGGGAUGUCAAGAGGUAGAAGUAGAACAAUCCAUUAUUAGGGGAAAGGGAAAUGGCUUCUGGUUCUGGGAGUAAGAAGCUUCAGGUUAGAGGCCCUAUGGAUAGUUAUUUGCCUCGGCCUGACCCUGAGGUUGCAGGAGAGAAAAGAAGGAAGCAAACCACCAUUAAAAAUAGAAUGAAGAAGGAAGAGAGAGAUAGAGCUGCUUAUUAUCUUGCUACAUGGUUUUAUGAGGCGGGUAUUCCUUUCAAUACCGCUCGCUUAAGCAGCUUCUAGCCGUGGUAGAGGCAAUUGGCCAAUUUGGGCCUGGGAUGAAACCCCCAACCACAUAUGAGCUUUCAAAGCCUCUUUUGAAAAAGGCGGCGAGUAUCAUGAAGGAAGCUGUAGAAGUUAAGAAGGAUGCAUGGACUCAAUGUGGGGUUUCUAUUAUGACUGAUGCUUGGAGUGAUAGGAAGAGAAGAAGACAGAGGAAUUUGCUUAUGCAUGCUAAUUCAGCGACCAACCGCUAAGCCUAAUCCAAAGAGCCAUCAACUUUUGCUCCUUAGGUAACCCUGGACAGGAGGGUUGUUGAGGGGCUUGUUGCAAGAUACUACAUUGCAGGUUGUGUUUACAUACUGUGGUUCUAUUAGUAUAGUGAACUCGACCAUGGAGGAACACCAUGCCCUGCUGGGAGGAAUUAAACUGUAUGACUGUAGUUCGGGCCACUCCCUCCUUGUCAGUUGCGACUCCUAAAACAUUAUAGCCUGGGCCUCCAAAAAGUCCACAAAUACCCUAACGCUCUUACUAGAUUUUUUGGCUUUUAGAUUAUCAAUAACUAGCUUUCAAACAUGUCUGAAGACAAUAUAACGCCAAAGCCAAUGCUUUUGCUAAGCAAAGGGCUUUGGGUUCUCAAUUGGUGGUCUCUAGUAACUAGUAUGGUUCACAAAGUUGAAGCUAUAAACCACCAUGAUAUUUUCUCUAAACAAAUCUCAUUCAUUACCAUCUGUCUCCUCCUAGAAGACAUACUUAACACUGAACCCAAUUUAAUCCUGGUUAUAAACUUGUCAAAACCAGAUUUUACACUACACCAAAUAGAGGCAAGUUUAUUGGUCUAAACUAAGAAGUUUCUUUCACUAAAUCUAUCAAACAACUUGUGUUCAAUAUCUAAGAAACAAAAUUUACUACACAUUGAAGAAUAGCAGCACCACAGACAUAGCUUGUAAGUGCUAAAUUCCCUCUUUCCAACUUAACAUGCUAGGGACGAAAGGAUAUAGCUUAUUAUUCCAUUGCCAUAUAAACCUUUUAAUGAAAACUCAUACCUUUUUCCAUAAAAUGAGAUUUUCUAGUGAAACCUUAUAAUGAAAGCUCAUACCUUUUUCCAUAAAAUGAGAUUUUCCAAUGAUUAAUGAAUGAGGGAUAGAAGACAAUCUUAUACACUAACUCAUUCAAGUAGCAACUCAGGAAAAAUGCAUAUGAAAAAUCCACAGAUUAUUGUUUUCUGUUUAUUUUAGAAUCUAGAGAAACUAUCAAGUAAAUGAAGUGCAGUAUCAAGAAAACGUGAACUGUGUAAAUUCUCGAUAAAAUACAAUACAAUCUGUAAAAUAAAAGAAGACGAUGUAAUUUCUAUAAUUCCAGAGAAAAAAAUCUAGGUAUUUCAGUGAUGACAAACGUUUUAAGAUCUAUAUAACCUAAUUUAGAGAGAAACACUAAUUAAAUUACCCUAAUUUUGAGAAAAACUUAAAAUACCCUAAAUUACAUUAAUUUCUAUAGAUGUGUGGAAAAUUUUGUUGAAAUAAGACAAAAUACUGUAAAUUUUUAAAAUUUUAGAGAAAACCCCUGAAAAUUUUAUUGAUGUUCACAGUUUUUUUUGGUAAGAUCCUAAACUCUAGCUUUUUCAGAACCCAAUUACAUAGAAAAUCAUAAUUUCAAAGUACCAAACGAAUAAAAAAUCCUAGUUCUCUGUAAGUAUGUUGAAAAUUUUCUUAAUACUUUAAAUUUUAAAAUUUUAGAGAAAACCCAUGAAAUAGAAGGGUUUUUCAGUUAAAUCCUAAUUUCUAGCUUUGUAAAAGCCUAAUUUCAUAGAAAACCAUUAUUUCAAAGGAAAAGCCUAAUUAAAAAUCCUAAUUUAAACUAAACUCCCAAUACAAAGUGAACCCUAAUUUCAGAGAAAAAAAUUAUCCGGUAAAAUCCUAAUUUCGCUAAAGCUAAUCUUGGAGAGAGCAUCUAAUUUGAGAGAUUAAAUUUUGUUUAAAAAUAUAUCUAUGUAAAAGCCAUGCUUAACAAUGAAGAUCACAAAGGAAGAGGAAGAACCCGACACGAUGCUUUUGAAUCAGUGGCAACAACACAAUGCAAUCCGUGUGUUUAAGAGGCCAGAGAGUGAGCUAGGAUCAAGCAAUAACGGGUGAUAGUGAGACAGGUUAGAGAGAGAAUCUUUCAGAAGGAAGCGGUCCCAGAGUUGAAUUUGUAGGGAGAGAGUGGCACGAGAGAGAGUAGACCAUACCCGAAGCUCCUCUUUGUUUCUCUCUCUAGCUCUCCCUCCAACUGUACUCCGUCACAAUGAGGAACUCAGUUAUUU
rnacentral:lncRNA from 1 species